rnacentral:sRNA from 1 species
AAUGGUCCUGAUGAGGAAACACUGCAGGCUGCCUUAGAGCCACAGGCCACCAUGGAACACCCAGCCUCAUACUUGGCAGUUUCCUACAGGAGGUUGCAAAGGCAGGCUGGUCCCUGGAGGAUGUUGACGUGUUUGAAAUCAAUGUAGCCUUUGCAGCAGUGUCUGCAGCAAUAGCUACAGAACAUAGAUCAAACCCCGAGAAGGUGAACAUCGAUGGAGGAGUCAUUGCCUUGGGCCAUCCACUGGGAGCAUCUGGCUGUAGGAUUCUACUGACCUUGUUACACACCCUGGAGAGAGUAGGUGGGACUUGUGGUGUUGCAGACCUGUGCACUGGGGGUGGGAUGGGGAUGGCAAUGUGUGUUCAGAGAGGAUGAGCCAUCACCCUUACA